UNUGACUCGAGUGCAGAAGGGGAGAGUGGAAUUCCAUGUGUAGCGGUGAAAUGCGUAGAUAUAUGGAGGAACACCAGUGGCGAAAGCGGCUCUCUGGUCUGUCACUGACGCUGAGGCUCGAGAGCGUGGGUAGCGAACAGGAUUAGAUACCCUGGUAGUCCACGCCGUAAGCGAUGAGUGCUAGGUGUUAGGCCCUUUCCGGGGCUUAGUGCCGGAGCUAACGCAAUAAGCACUCCGCCUGGGGAGUACGACCGCAAGGUUGAAACUCAAAGGAAUUGACGGGGGCCCGCACAAGCGGUGGAGCAUGUGGUUUAAUUCGAAGCAACGCGAAGAACCUUACCAGGUCUUGACAUCCCGAUGCUAUUCUUAGAGAUAGGAAGUUACUUCGGUACAUCGGAGACAGGUGGUGCAUGGUUGUCGUCAGCUCGUGUCGUGAGAUGUUGGGUUAAGUCCCGCAACGAGCGCAACCCUUAUUGUUAGUUGCCAUCAUUAAGUUGGGCACUCUAGCGAGACUGCCGGUAAUAAACCGGAGGAAGGUGGGGAUGACGUCAAAUCAUCAUGCCCCUUAUGACCUGGGCUACACACGUGCUACAAUGGUCGGUACAACGAGUUGCGAGCCGGUGACGGCAAGCUAAUCUCUGAAAGCCGAUCUCAGUUCGGAUUGGAGGCUGCAACUCGCCUCCAUGAAGUCGGAAUCGCUAGUAAUCGCGGAUCAGCACGCCGCGGUGAAUACGUUCCCGGGCCUUGUACACACCGCCCGUCACACCACGAGAGUUUGUAACACCCGAAGUCGGUGAGG
rnacentral:rRNA from 1 species